UUCAAAAGCGGGGAUACCUGAUUGGGGUUAAUCACCUCAUGAAAGUACGGCAGGGAAAGAAGAACCAUGGAUGGAGGCAGCUAAGUGCAAAACCAGGCCCUGAUAAGGAAACAGAAACACAUUUAUUUAUUUUAAAUAUUUCACAUUUAUUGUACAUUUUUCAUGGGUGUGGAAGGCGUUCUAACCAUUGCCCUGCUCUCACCUUCAGCGUUCAGUCAAUAUUUUCCAAGUAGUUAUUGAGCCCCAACUUGACUUUAGACCCUCAGUGGCACUGUGGGCACAGCUCUGCAGGAGGCACUGCGGAGCUUACUAAUGAGCAGGCAGAGAAAUCAUCACAGGGAGCUUGUGAGGAAGAUCUGUGCACAGAACAUGUCCCCUCCAGGGUCUGUAGCUACUGGGCACAGAGGCAGACCCCAGACCAGCCUGAGCCCAUUGAGAUCUGUCUCCGGGAUGGAACGUUGGAAACGUGAGAUCAAGGAGACCUGAAGAAGCCAGGUGGUCACAAAACUUCAUCAGGACUCGAGGCACUGCCCGGACCAGCCAAUGCAACUCACCUAACUUGUGCUGAGGAAGGAUCUACUGUGAAAUAAACACCAAGCCAGAUACCAGAGGAAACAAAGAUGGCGCCUAGAACUGUGCCUGUGUCAACAAAUACUUGCAGAAUCAGUGAACGCAUCAAAGAAAACGGCAUCCUCAUGAACUCACCGACAAUGGGCGAAUCUCAGCCGUGACAGGGAAAUAGUCCCUCAUAUCUCACCAGCCACCCGGCAGCAGCCAGUAUGUCAUCUAUGUGGACCUGCAGCUAAUGAUCCACAUUCAGAAGUUUACGUCAUGCCUACACGGCCUUGCAAGCGGGGAUGAGAGUCCUCAUUCCCAGGGGAGUGUUUAAGGCUCAACAGGAUUGAGUGACUUGCUCAAGAAUUGCUCGUGGAGGCUGGGCUCGGUGGCUCACACCUGUAAUCCCAGCACUUUGACAUUCCGAGGUGGGUGGAUCACCUGAAGUCAGGAGUUUGAGACCAGCCUGACCAAUAUGGUGAAACCCUGCCUCUACUAAAAAUACAAAAUUAACCAGGCGUGGUGGUGCAUGCCUGUAAUCCCAGCUACUUGGGAGGCUGAGGCAGGAGAAUUGCUUGAAUCUGGGAGGCGGAAGUUGCAGUGAGAUGAUAUUGUGCCAUUGCACUCCAGCUUGGGUGACAAGAGUAAAACUCCAUCUCUAAAAAAAAAAAAAAAAAAAAAAAAGAAUUGUUCAUGAGUUCCCAAGGCCACACGGUCUGUAACAGAAACAGAAUUUGAAUCCAGGUCCAGUGAAUUUCAAAAUAUGACCCCGAAGCUUUUCCUUCUCCACCUGGAGAGGAGAUGUUAACUAAGUUUAAGAGGGUUUCAUAAAUUCAGGAAUGGUUCCCAAGGGUUUAAGUUGCUUUCAUGUCUCCUUCCCUCUCUGUGACAAGACCACAAGGUUCCAGAUAUCCACAGAUUCUGAGGACUCACACCCAAUGGUCUCUGGAGGCGCCUCUGUCUCUCCCGCCACCAGCAUGGCUGGCAUUUGAAAAGGCAGUCAAAAUUAAAUUAAACUGAAGUGCUGUGUUUUUUUUAUUAUUAUUUUCUAUGGUUAACAGAUUUAAUUGAGAAGUCAAUUCAUAUUUGUAAUCUUUUAGAAAUGAACUAAAUUCUGUGUUAAGAUUUGAUUGACACUUCUGCAGGCCAGUUCUCCAGACACAUCAUGCAAGACCCAAGUGUUCACUUGCUCUGAUCUCUUUGUAUAUUGGGUUUCUUGAAAACAUAACAGCAGCAAACUCCAAAGACUCUGAAGAUACAGGCAACGUUAUUAAGAUCUUUUCCCCUUGAUGCUAGCUAGAUAGGUUACUGUUUUCUCUUAAAAAAAAUCUAUCUGUCUAUGUGGUAUUAUUUCAAAUAGUCUUUGAAAAAUGUAAUUUCUGGGAAAGGUUUUGUUUUGGUUUGGGUUUUGCCUUGAGGAACAGGGAGCUGCUAAUUCUCAACCAUGGCUAGGGUGCCCAUCAACUGUGAAGUGGACUGGAGGCUCCUCCAAGCCCCCUUUUCUCUCACUGUGGUCACCUCCUAUGCCUCGUGCUGACCUCUGACAUUCUCCUGACAACACAUGCAAGAGCCUCUCGGUGACCCUCAACCACCAUCUACCAGUCUAAGGAAUUGUGCAGGCCCUAAUGGUUUCCUACUCCUCACCAGCUAAUUAACCUUCUGUUGGUUAAGGUUCUGUUGGUUAACCUUCUGUUGGUUAAGGUUCUGCUGGUUAACCUUCUGUUGGUUAAGCCAAUGCUCUAGACCUAUUUUUCUCCCUGGAGAGCAAGUGUGUACAGUGGUGUGAAGGAUAUAACCAUAUGUUCAAAACAAAUAGGCAUAUUAGAAGCACUGUUGCCUGAGAAACAUAGGGCAAUGUGUUUUUCCACUUGAUUAUAUUUUUCCAUAAAUACAAUUUUAACAUGUUUUUCUUCUAGGCUUAAAUAUAAAAUCCCAUCUAGCUUACCCUUUAGCUUUCCUUAAAGUCAAAAAAUAGGCUAUAUAAAGCACACACAGACACACACACAUAUAUGUUUCUAUAUGUUGAGCUAUCCUUAGAGGAUAGAUUCCCUAAAGGGUAAUUAUUAGUUAAGGGGCAUAAGGGUUUACAUAUUUCAUAAAAUACAUUGACACACUCAUAUACUGCAUGUGGAGAUGUAAAAUGGUACAGCCACUUUGAAAAAUAGUUCAGCAAUUUCUUAUAAAAGUGAACAUGCAGCUACCAUACAACACAGCAAUUGUACUCUUGGACAUUUAUCCCAGGUUUACAUAAAAUCCUGUACAUGAAUGUUCAUAACAGCUUCAUUUGUAAUAGCCAAAAAGUGUAAACAACCUAGAUCUCCUUCAGGAGAUGAAAGUUUAAACAAACUGCAGUGUAAUCCAUCUUGUGGAAUAUUACUCAGCAAUCAAAAGGAACAAGCAAUUGAUAGGAACAAGAAUUGAGAGGGGAAUCUAAAGGGAAUUCUGUUGUGUGAAAAAAGCCAGUCUCAAAAGAUGGCAUACUGUAUUUCCAUUUACAUAACAUUCUUAAAGUGAUAACAUUUGGAGAUGGAGAACAGAAUUGUGGUCACACGGAUGAGGCUUGUGGGAGGACGUGGGUGUGGCUAUAAGAGGACAGAAUAAAGGAUUCUUGUAUUGAUGAAAAUGUUCUGUGUCUUGACUGUACUAAUGCCAAUAUCCUCAUUGUGAGUUUGUACCAUAGUUUUGUAAGAUAUUAUAAUUGGGGGAAACUGGGUAGAGUAUGUAGGAUCUUUUUGCAUUAUUUCUUAUAAAUACGUGAAUCUAUAAUUAUCUCAAAAUAAGACUUUAAUUAAAAAUGCAUUGACACAUUGUUUUCUGAAAGGAGGUAGCAAGUUUUCUUGCCAAACAACAAUGGAGAAGACAAACUUAAGACUAACUCAAACUGUUUAAUCUCGAAGGAAGGACACAUGUGUUUGUCCAUCGACGAGCGUGUUCCAAAACAUGUCAUUGGAAGUAAGAACCAGCUUUAACCAGAGAAAUAGCAUUAUUUCAUAAUGGUCUCAAUGCUCCUCAACUGCUAAAGUUAAUUCAAAUUAAGUGUUAAUGUUUGAUCUGAAAAAAGAGUGUUAUCUCUUCCAGGUAUUAUUUGCAUUUACUUGUAAAAUGUAAAGUCAACCCAAGAGAGUGUUUUCUUGGAACCCCAGGGAGGGAAAAGGAUCUCCUUCUUCAAUGCCUCUGAAAGCCCACAGAGAUGGCAUCCUCUGCUGCAAACCCACCCUCCAUGUAAAUUCGGCCACACUGAACCCAGUGUUGGUCAGAACCAUUCUGAGUCCAACUAGAGGGCCACAUAACUGAGGUUGUCUCUGGGAUUUGUGUUUCCUGUGACUUAGAUUUACGUAUGCAAUGUGGUUUUUCUCCUGUUGCUGCUGCCUUCAUUCCUGACUCGUAGGCUGGUGUUGGAUUGUGAGGAUCAGGUUUGGAGCUGGUGCUUUGAUAGUCUUUGAUGUUUUCAAACGCGUGAAAGGCUGUCAUCUUUUCAAGUGGCACUCAGCUCCAGGUAAAGAAUGUCUCUGAUUUCUUGAGUGUCUCUCAGAGGCAAUUAUAUCCUGAUUGACCUGUUUGACGUUAAAAUGUCUCCAACAUGUGCUCCCGUAUUGGGAAAUGAAGAUCUUAUUUCUAUUCUUCUACUCAAGUCUGUCUCCUUUGAGAGUUCACCAGAGUUCUAAACUUUGGGGAUGGAAAGCACCAGAUUGUUGGAGUACUUUUUUUUUUCUGUACAACUGACAUUUUAAAAAUCAAUAUUUUAAGCCUAACACGGAGAACAUAGAGUCAGGCAUUUAUUGCAGCAAUGAUGUGAUAAAUAGCCAGGUAGUCCUGGGUACAGUGACAGGCACCAAGGAUUCAAAGGUGGAGAAAGACAUGGAUCCUGCCUGCAGAGGGCUUAUCAUCUGGCUUAUGAGUGGCGGCAGCAGUGGUUGGGGAAUGAGAACACAAGGAGACAGAUAAUACAGUCCACAAUGGAAUGCAUGGGACACUGAAGGGGUCAUAGUCCCACAUCCUUGACGUGAAGAGGUGCCGUCUUAAGACAUCAUUCAUGUGUGAAAAGUUUGCUCCUUUAAAAAUCAAUGUGUGAAUGAAGCUGGAAGCCAUCAUCCUCAGCAAACUAACACAGGAACAGGAAACCAAACGCCGCACGUUCUCACUCGUAAGUGGGAGUUGAACAAUG
rnacentral:lncRNA from 10 species